CAGUAGCCGCGGGAAUACAGAGGAUGCAAGCGUUAUCCGGAAUGAUUGGGCGUAAAGCGUCUGUAGGUGGCUUUUCAAGUCCGCCGUCAAAUCCCCGGGCUCAACCCUGGACAGGCAGUGGAAACUACCAAGCUGGAGUACGGUAGGGGCAGAGGGAAUUCCACGUGUAGCGGUGAAAUGCGUAGAGAUGUGGAGGAACACCAGUGGCGAAGGCGACUCUCUGGUCUGUAACUGACGCUGAGGAGCGAAAGCGUGGGGAGUGAACAGGAUUAGAUACCCCAGUAGUCCCUGUCUCUUAUAC
rnacentral:rRNA from 1 species